rnacentral:rRNA from 1 species
CAGGCCUAACACAUGCAAGUCGAACGAUACCUUUCGGGGUAUAGUGGCGCACGGGUGCGUAACGCGUGGGAAUCUGCCCUUGGGUUCGGGAUAACCGUUGGAAACGACGGCUAAUACCGGAUGAUGACGUAAGUCCAAAGAUUUAUCGCCCAGGGAUGAGCCCGCGUAGGAUUAGCUAGUUGGUGUGGUAAAGGCGCACCAAGGCGACGAUCCUUAGCUGGUCUGAGAGGAUGAUCAGCCACACUGGGACUGAGACACGGCCCAGACUCCUACGGGAGGCAGCAGUGGGGAAUAUUGGACAAUGGGCGAAAGCCUGAUCCAGCAAUGCCGCGUGAGUGAUGAAGGCCUUAGGGUUGUAAAGCUCUUUUANCCCGGGAUGAUAAUGACAUACCGGGGGGNAAUAGCCUCCGGCUAAAUCCCGUGUCC